AAAAAAAAAAAUCCUAAAUUUCCGUGUCCAAUUGUAAUUGUCCGUCUAAUAUGAAAUUUUUUUAUAAUUCGUAUUUUUAUUGUUGUUAGAUAAUAAAACAUGAUUAAUAUUUUAUGCGUGACUUGUUUUUUUAAUUUUUUUUAUAAUUUUUUUAAAUAAGACGGACGGUCAAACGUUGGACACGGAAAUCAGGGUUUGUCUUUUU
rfam:Oryza sativa Japonica Group DNA, chromosome 1, cultivar: Nipponbare, complete sequence.